rnacentral:rRNA from 1 species
AGCACCUACGGGUGUGAAGUCAUUGAUGCCAUGCUUCCAGGAAAAGCCUCUAAGCUUCAGAUUGUAAGGAAUCGUACCCCAAACCGACACAGGUGGUCGGGUAGAGAAUACCAAGGCGCUUGAGAGAACUCGGGUGAAGGAACUAGGCAAAAUGGUACCGUAACUUCGGGAGAAGGUACGCUCUCGACGGUGAAGUCCCUCGCGGAUGGAGCUAUUGAGAGUCGCAGAUACCAGGUGGCUGCAACUGUUUAUUAAAAACACAGCACUGUGCAAAAUCGUAAGAUGACGUAUACGGUGUGACGCCUGCCCGGUGCCGGAAGGUUAAUUGAUGGGGUUAGACUUCGGUCGAAGCUCUUGAUCGAAGCCCCGGUAAACGGCGGCCGUAACUAUAACGGUCCUAAGGUAGCGAAAUUCCUUGUCGGGUAAGUUCCGACCUGCACGAAUGGCGUAAUGAUGGCCACGCUGUCUCCACCCGAGACUCAGUGAAAUUGAAAUCGCUGUGAAGAUGCAGUGUACCCGCGGCUAGACGGAAAGACCCCGUGAACCUUUACUACAGCUUGGCACUGAACAUUGACCCUACAUGUGUAGGAUAGGUGGGAGGCUUUGAAGCACGUACGCCAGUAUGUGUGGAGCCGUCCUUGAAAUACCACCCUUGUAGUGUUGAUGUUCUAACGUCGACCCCUUAUCGGGGUUGCGGACAGUGCCUGGUGGGUAGUUUGACUGGGGCGGUCUCCUCCCAAAGAGUAACGGAGGAGCACGAAGGUGGGCUAAUCACGGUUGGACAUCGUGAGGUUAGUGCAAUGGCAUAAGCCCGCUUGACUGCGAGAAUGACAAUUCGAGCAGGUGCGAAAGCAGGUCAUAGUGAUCCGGUGGUUCUGAAUGGAAGGGCCAUCGCUCAACGGAUAAAAGGUACUCCGGGGAUAACAGGCUGAUACCGCCCAAGAGUUCAUAUCGACGGCGGUGUUUGGCACCUCGAUGUCGGCUCAUCACAUCCUGGGGCUGAAGUCGGUCCCAAGGGUAUGGCUGUUCGCCAUUUAAAGUGGUACGCGAGCUGGGUUUAGAACGUCGUGAGACAGUUCGGUCCCUAUCUGCCGUGGGCGUUGGAAGAUUGAAGGGGGCUGCUCCUAGUACGAGAGGACCGGAGUGGACGAACCUCUGGUGUUCGGGUUGUGUCGCCAGACGCAUUGCCCGGUAGCUAAGUUCGGAAUCGAUAACCGCUGAAAGCAUCUAAGCGGGAAGCGAGCCCUGAGAUGAGUCUUCCCUGAUACUUUAAGUAUCCUAAAGGGUUGUCGGAGACUACGACGUUGAUAGGUCAGGUGUGUAAGUGCUGUGAGGCAUUGAGCUAACUGAUACUAAUUGCCCGUGAGGCUUAACCAU